AAUGAACCGGCGAGUUACGAUUUGAUGCAAGGUUAAGCAGUAAAUGUGGAGCCGUAGCGAAAGCGAGUCUGAAUAGGGCGUUUAGUAUUUGGUCGUAGACCCGAAACCAGGUGAUCUACCCUUGGUCAGGUUGAAGUUCAGGUAACACUGAAUGGAGGACCGAACCGACUUACGUUGAAAAGUGAGCGGAUGAACUGAGGGUAGCGGAGAAAUUCCAAUCGAACCUGGAGAUAGCUGGUUCUCUCCGAAAUAGCUUUAGGGCUAGCCUCAAGUGAUGAUUAUUGGAGGUAGAGCACUGUUUGGACGAGGGGCCCCUCUCGGGUUACCGAAUUCAGACA
rnacentral:rRNA from 1 species